rnacentral:rRNA from 1 species
CGGGGAAUAUUGCACAAUGGGCGAAAGCCUGAUGCAGCGACGCCGCGUGGGGGAUGAAGGCUCUCGGGUUGUAAACCCCUUUCAGCAGGGACGAAAUCAGACGGUACCUGCAGAAGAAGCCCCGGCCAACUACGUGCCAGCAGCCGCGGUAACACGUAGGGGGCAAGCGUUGUCCGGAUUUAUUGGGCGUAAAGAGCUCGUAGGCGGUUCGAUAAGUCGGGUGUGAAAACUCUGGGCUCAACUCAGAGACGCCACCUGAUACUGUCGUGACUGGAGUCUGGUAGGGGAGUGUGGAAUUCCCGGUGUAGCGGUGAAAUGCGCAGAUAUCGGGAGGAACACCAGUGGCGAAGGCGGCACUCUGGGCCAGUACUGACGCUGAGGAGCGAAAGCGUGGGGAGCGAACAGG